rnacentral:rRNA from 1 species
CAACGUGGGUGACCUGCCCUUAGCUCUGGGAUAAGCCUAGGAAACUGGGUCUAAUACCGGAUAUGACUCCAUGACGCAUGUUGUGGGGUGGAAAGCCUUGUGCGGCUAGGGAUGGGCCCGCGGCCCAUUAGCUUGUUGGUGGGGUAAUGGCCUACCAAGGCGACGAUGGGUAGCUGGUCUGAGAGGACGAUCAGCCACACUGGGACUGAGACACGGCCCAG